GUGAGUCACGUGACCAUACCGUCACGUGACCAUUCCGUCUCUUCCUCACGCCGGCCAGAGCGCACAGCCGGUCACAACAAGCAGCAAGCACUCACGUUUUCUUCAUGGCUGAGCAAGCGGUGCAGAGCUUUUAGGACAUACAUAUUGAUUGGGAGAAACGGAAUAACACCGACAUGCCUCGUAAGGAGAGGAGGCGGAAGCAGCGACAGAAAGAGCUACAUGAGGCAGCUAAAGGCAGUGGGUCCCUCACCAGCUGGAUAAAAAAAGAGUACAGUCUGAGAUCAACACAGCCUUGCCCUCCAGCAUCAUCAUCAGCAGCAAGAAGAGCAACCCUGCAACAGCUACACUGUACCCCAUCAUCAGGUAAAAUAGGACAGCAAUAGAUCAGGAGGUGGAGCAGGUUGUCCGGUAAUCGGAAGGUUGCAGGUUUGAUCCUGACUUUAAUCAGAGAUUGAUGCUGUUGUGUCCUUGGGCAAGACACUUAACCUGCUUUGCCUGCUGGUGGUGGUCGGAGGGACUGGUGGCGCCUGUGCACGGCAGCCUCGCCUCUGUCAGUGUGCUCCAGAGCAGCUAUGGCUACAUCAUAGCUCAUCACCAUCAGUGUGUUAAUGUGUGUGUGUGAAUGACUGAUUGUGUUGUAAUGUGCCUUGGGGGGUUGUAGAACCCUAAGAAGGCAUUAUACAAAUACAGACCAUUUACCAAAACAAGUUACUUUUGCUUUACAUUGUCCUUAUGUGGUAAGGAUGUAUAUAAUGAUUCGCUUCCAUUUUGAAUUUCUAAUAAAUAUGAUUUGUUAUUCA